GGAGGUUAUACCCGGAGGUCUCGACGCUCGCUCGUGCUGCUCGUGUUGCCGCUGGGUACGUUUGCUGCCAGUGCUGAUCCAGCCGGAGGCGAAGAGAAGCACUUUGGGGGCAAAAGCCAAAAAGAAAAAAGAAAACCAAUAUUUAAGAGAGAGAAAAAUGAAGACGGGACAUUUUGAAAUAGUCACCAUGCUGCUGGCAACCAUGAUUCUAGUGGACAUUUUCCAGUGAAGGCUGAAGUGUUAGACAUGG
rnacentral:lncRNA from 1 species